CUCAAAACGCGCGGAACAGUUUAUAAAUACAACUGUUAAACACUUUAACGCUUCAGUCAACAUACAUGAUCAUUUUAACCUAUGACGAAAAUAGUUACGCCUGUGAAAUUAGAAUGUAGGAUCUAUAGCUUUAAUUUACAUUUCGGACAUGAAACUAUACGAUGAAGCGUAUCCAGUAGCAAGAUUUCAAGGACAGAAAUAGAAAACAAAAUUGAAGAAUGUCAACGUGCGUAGAUGAUAUUACAAGGGGCCAUGAACUUUAUCUGAGACAUCUGUUACUUUUGGGACAAGCUGCACCAUUGGCUUUGAAGGCAGUUAUAGAAACAGAAGUCAGGAAACGCGGGGAAUCUCUUGCUCAGCUUAUUGGCAAGAAGAAGGAUACUUUCAAUGUUAAUUAUAGAAAACAGUUUCUUCAGCUGUUUCAAGACGAUGAAGUCAAGACAAACACUGAUUCGUGGGACACAUCCUUGCUUUGUGUUGUAACAUUUGUCCUAUUCAAAUCCUGUUUGACCAGUACAGCGCUUCAAGCAGUAACCUGCGUUACUGACCAGAGGAAGGAUCUGGAUAGUUAUGCUCAUUCUGCUUCACUGAAUUUCAAAACCUUCGAGACAAAAUGGGUUCCGUUGAAUUCUGCAAUGCUUGAGCUGAUCAAAUAUAUUGAUGACGAGGCAAAAUUUGAGUGCAAACGAAUGAUUCAUUCCUUUAAAUCAGAAUCUAUCAAUGUUAACAUAGAACUUAUAAACAAAAUGAAACAGAUAAAUGAUGUCAAUCUGCAUCUUAAAAUGGCAAUACAAGACAAAGUCGUCCCAAAUAUUCACGGAGAGACCGGCAGUUGUGACCAAAACGAGUCAGUAGAACUGCAAAAAGAUAAUCCAGUAUUUACGGAAAAACUUCAGAACACAUAUGUCUAUAUCAGUGAAUCAGCCAUUCUUACAUGUAAACUUAACGUGUCUGAGAAAGCAGUCAAAUGGCUACGUGAUGGCAAACCUGUAGAAGAAACAGACACCUUAAUGUUUCUUACAAAGAAAUGUACCCACUGGUUGGCAAUUUCUCGCGCAAAGUUGAUAGAUAGUGGAAAUUAUGCUUGCAUUUGUGGAAAUACAUCAACAACGGCUUUCCUAAAAGUUUCAGAGAAACCGUUAAAGAUAACCGUGGAUUUACAUGUAGCCACAGUAGAUGCAGAUGUCAGAGAGAGUAUGGAUAUCGUAUUAAUUUGUGAGGUCAACCUACGUACGAAUAAGGCUGUCUGGCGACAUAACGGCCAAGUAAUUAGAACAUGUAAUAGGCAUGUUUGCUCGGUGCAAGACCUAGAACACAAACUGACUAUUCGAAAUGCAAAGUUUGAGGAUGAGGGUGAUUACACAGUUGACUUUGGUAAUGCAACAUCAAGUGCAAAACUAACAAUUAAAGGCAACCUCAGUCUCUUACACAAAAAACAACUCAUGGAACAUAUGUUUAGAAACUGGAUAAGAGGGGCACUUGGUCUUAAAUAUUUGAAAAUUGGCUUAGAGGCGUUUUCUGAUAUUGCUGUUUGGAAUCAUCACUCAGAAUUUCUAACACGUCUUUCGAGUAUUGGAAAUAGAUGCACACGCUGUACAACAGAAAUACUCCUCCCGUCGCACAAACCAGAACAUUGUCCAAAGAAAGCAAAUUGUCUAUGUUCGAAGAAACCACAUAAGAGGCUGCCUUGUCCUAACGGAGGUUUUUGUAGCACGUUCUAUGAUAAUAUAUUUUUUGACCAUCGAUUUUUCUGUCCAUUAUUGACGAACACGGACAUACACAAAUGGGGCAGUGAUCCUUGGAGUGUUGCUACAUGUUAUAUCAGUACUACUGGCUACAAAGACAAAAGAUCAGCGAAAAAGAUUGAUUGUGCAGGAUUACUGAGCUUAUUCAUCAACAACACAUUUUUUGAGAGAAGUCUUGGUAGUGUUGAAAUAAAUGGUGAAACAGAUCUAUUCAAACAGGCAAGGGAUGCACGCAAUGACAUUCUUCACAGUGCGAAUUAUGAGUUGUCUGAAGGUGAACUAAGUGAUUAUAUUGACCUGUUCAGAGGCGUCCUGGAGAUCAAAACUAUUACUGGAGAGACACCACUUACCUGUCAGCGAGGUGUUAAAAAUGCAAUGGAAAAUUUGAAUGAGUUACAGAAAUACCAGAUUGAUAUACAUGAUUCUGAAGAUCUUCAAAAGCAAAUUAAAGGCCUACGAGAGCACGCUAUGAAUGAAUUAGCAGAAAAAGUUGACGAAGCAGAGAAACAGAAUCGCAUUAAGCUUCAGCACUUAGAAGAACAACUGAAAAAGAAAGAGAAGGAACUUCAGUUGAUGCGUGAUUUUAGGUCGUCAACACUGCUAAAAUGUGCACAGACAGAAAAAGUGCCAUUCGAACUCAAAUUGCAUAUCCGAGUUGUUGGAUCAACUGGAUUGACAGUUGCGGAAGGGCGACAACGUAUAUUCGAAAGCAUGAAAGAGUAUGUUGCCAGCUACAUGAACAGUCAAGAGCAGCCUAUCAAAUCUAUUGAUCAAUCGGUUUAUUGCCUUCUUGGUUACAUAACCAACAUUAAAGACUGUAAGAUUGCUGACGUAUUUAACGUAGAGUCGUCAGUCGACAUCAAAGUCUAUUGUUUUACUUGUAAGGCUAUAGAAGAGUUUCUCAAGCUAAUCAACGGAAACGAGUUUCAGAAAGAAACAAUAGAGCUAAGGAAAAGGUUAGAGACGCUGGAACGGAUAAAGGCAUGCGACGUAUUAGCAAGCUGUUCAUCAGCAAGUUUGGAAAGCACCAGGACACGUUUACACAUCCGCUCUUCAACCAGUUUCUUCGCUUGUGAUAACCACCAAGUUACGCAGUGCACGUGGUAUUGUUCUGACCAUGACAAGUUUUUUUGCUCGACUUGUAGGGAUUCACACCAUAGGUCAGUGGUUCAAAAGUCAAGGUCAUAGGAACCUUACUAAAUUUCUGGCAAAGUUUCAUUUUCGCGCUCUAAGACACAACGUAUGAAGGUUACAUCAUUCAGAUCUUACAUGAUGACUUUCGCGCUCUAAGGCACAACGUAUGAAGGCUAUAUCAUUCAGAUCUUAGCACUCCUGGAGAACAUGUGUUGGACUAAAAAUGAUCGUAUCAGAAAGCUCAUACGGGAAACGGACAAAAAGUCUUGUAAUCAAGAGUAAGAUGGGAAAUUAUAAUGUGAAAAUAAAAAAUCUUUUGAUUAAUAAAGAUGACAAUGAC
rnacentral:misc_RNA from 1 species